CUACACCCUGGGCAGUCCAUCACAGGGCUGUUUUCACAUCUCAAAAAGGAAUUUGGCCAAUGUAUUAAAAAAUGACUUCCAGGGUGUUUCUAUUUCUCGUUGGAACUGUGUACAUCUUCUACCAGGGCAUUGCAGGAUCUACAUCUAUAUCUGCAUCUGCAUCUGUAUACUAUUUCGGCGAACUACU